rnacentral:rRNA from 1 species
AGGAUGAACGCUGGCGGCGUGCCUAAAACAUGCAAGUCAUACGGACCACUUUCGGGUGGUCAGUGGCAAACGGGUGAGUAACACGUGGGAACACGCCUUCGAGUGGGGAAUAACGCUGAGAAAUCAGUGCUAAUACCGCAUAUGGUCGAGAGACUAAAGCAGUAAUGCGCUCGGAGAGUGGCCCGCGGUCGAUUAGCUUGUUGGUGGGGUAAUGGCCUACCAAGGCGGCGAUCGAUAGC